UGAGGGAAUAUUUGGGGUCAAUGGGCGAGAGCCUGAACCAGCCAAGUAGCGUGCAGGACGACGGCCCUAUGGGUUGUAAACUGCUUUUAUACGGGAAUAAAGUGAUGCCUGCGGGCGUUAUUGCAUGUACCGUACGAAUAAGGACCGGCUAAUUCCGUGCCAGCAGCCGCGGUAAUACGGAAGGUCCGGGCGUUAUCCGGAUUUAUUGGGUUUAAAGGGAGCGUAGGCUGUCCUUUAAGCGUGUUGUGAAAUGUAGUGGCUCAACCUCUGCACUGCAGCGCGAACUGGUCUUCUUGAGUACGCACAACGUGGGCGGAAUUCGUGGUGUAGCGGUGAAAUGCUUAGAUAUCACGAAGAACUCCGAUUGCGAAGGCAGCUCACGGGAGCGCAACUGACGCUGA
rnacentral:rRNA from 1 species